rnacentral:rRNA from 1 species
UGUGCCUUACGGGGCGCAGCAGUGAGGAAUAUUGCACAAUGGGGGGAACCCUGAUGCAGCGACGCCGCGUGGGUGAAGGAGUAUUUUGGUAUGUAAAGCCCUAUCAGCAGGGAAGAACAAUGACGGUACCUGACUAAGAAGCACCGGCUAAAUACGUGCCAGCAGCCGCGGUAAUACGUAUGGUGCAAGCGUUAUCCGGAUUUACUGGGUGUAAAGGGAGCGCAGGCGGCGCGUUAAGCCUGGUGUGAAAGUCCGCGGCCCAACCGCGGGACUGCAUUGGGAACUGGCGCGCUGGAGUGCCGGAG